GAGACUUCAGCACCUUCACCAGAUCCCAAAGCUUCCCACCACGAGCCCUUCACUCCUCCCUGGCAGGCUGGAAUUCCCAGAGCAGCUGUGGCUGCCCCUGGAUCCCUGGCAGUGCCCAAGGCCAGGUUGGAUCCACCUGGGACAGUGGGAGGUGUCCCUGCCCAUGGAUGGGGUGGGAAUGGGUGGGAUUUGAGGUCCCAUCCACCCGAAGCAUUCCAUGGUUCUGUGAAAUCACCACGUCCCAAGGACCCCAUGGAAGAGUGGGACAAGGAUGGUACUGCCCAGGAGGUCACCAGGAAGGUGCAGGAGCAAAACACGACUGGUCCUUACUGGAAAGCCCCCAGAGGUUCUGCAGCCUCAUCCACGCAGGUUUCUGAGGCCAUGAGAUGCCUCCCAACAGACCACAUGGAGGGUCAGGGCUGCUCCAACCUUCCAGGUUUGUGUCCAGCUCCGGAAGGCCAAGGAACAGCUCCUCUCCCUGUGCACUUUCUGCAGUCAGCUCUCCACGGGGAACGCCCCACGUGUGCAUCCCUGGCCCCACACGAGCUCCCUUCCCAAAGGAGACCUGCAGUAGCUGCAAACACAAACUCUCCCAGCUGCAGCUGCACCAACAGCCCCACUCCCCAGCCACCCCUGAAAGGGGACAUGUGGAAAACUCCCAUUUACGGGGCCAGUGCCCCUCUGUGAAACAGCCAAGCGGGCACAGGUGGCCGAUAAAAGCGCACUUCAACAGCCACGCUUGCAAAAGAAAUUUAUAAGAGUGAGCAAAGCUCGCAGCCUUUUAAUUGCAUGUCAAAUGCUGGGCUCCGAGAACUAAACCAGAUUCCUGCAGGCUGUGCCAAGUGCUUCCAGAUAUUCCGUGUCUGGAGCAGAUCCCGCUGCUACCAAGGGGUUAAAGCUCAGCCUCUGAGGCCGGGGAAGCUUGAAGGCAAUGCCACCAACCCUGAAGGAAAGCAGAGAACAUUUCUGCCAGCUUUGUUCCAAAUAAAAGGUUAUUAAAAACAGCCCCAGCCGCUGUUAACAGGAACGGCCCGACGAGGAGACGUUUACAAAGCAGCUGAACUUGUAAAUAAAUGGA